rnacentral:rRNA from 1 species
AUGGAGGUCUGGAUCCUAGGUCUAGUAGUGUGUGAGUGUCUCUCUCUGGCAAAUAAAGUGGAGCUGUGUUUUGGAUCUUGUCUAGGUGGUUGUUCAACUCUCCCUUGGGGCCACGCUGGUGGCGAAAAGGCGGAGGCAAGGAUGAUCCCUGGCAGCGGAUCCUUCGGCGGCUUCCCUCAGCCGGAUCCAUGGCGAAGCUUAGGCCCGUCCGGUUUCGUCCCCACUUCUCCCCCCUUUUCUUGUUGUAAUAAAUCCCAAUAUGGUGCGCCAGAUGCUCUUCUUCCUCAAUCUGUUCUUGCCACCAUGGUUGUGGGAAGAGAGAUAGAGCAGCAGGAGAUGUACAUGCCUACCACUUGCAGGAGGCCCCGUUGCUACCUUCCUCCACUUGAUGCCGCCAAGGUGGUGGAUGAAGAGGGGUGGGGAAGCACUGAGCUGAAGAUUGAUGGUCGGGUUUGA